GGAGGGGGCAAGCGUUAUUCGGAUUUACUGGGCGUAAAGCGCACGUAGGCGGCAUGGCAAGUCGCAGGUGAAAGCCCUCGGCUCAACCGAGGAACUGCCUGCGAAACUGCCUUGCUUGAGUCCGGGAGGGGGGAGCGGAAUUCCCAGUGUAGCGGUGAAAUGCGUAGAUACUGGGAGGAACACCGGUGGCGAAGGCGGCUCCCUGGACCGGUACUGACGCUGAGGUGCGAAAGCGUGGGUAGCAAACAGGGAUUAGAUACCCUGGUAGUCCACGCCGUAAACGAUGGGCACUAGGUGCAGCGGGUGUCGACCCCCCCUGCUGUGCCGAAGUUAACGCAUUAAGUGCCCCCGGCCUGGGGGAGUACGGUCGCAAGGCUG
rnacentral:rRNA from 1 species